UAAAGGAUGGCAAAGGGUAUUAUGGUGUGGCGGAUAAGAUCAUGUGUAGAUCAGUACAUAGAUUAGUAAUGCUGUUGCCAAUAGAAGAACAAGUUUAAGCAUAUGUACCUUGUCCAAUGUAAUCUAGUCCAUGGUAGUCAAUGUGGAGGGGGGAGUGUAUCAUUAGUAUGAUAGGUAUAUGAAAAAUAAGAAUAUUUAUGUUUAUUUGAUAAUUACGGGUGAGAUGUUACGUUGCGCAUCUCGAGUGUUUUUUGUUUACCCAUGAGCCCACGUAUGACGUUGCUGUGCGGUUGAGGCCUCGUGUGUGAAUCCACUUCGCAGGGAAUAUUUGUGUUGUUGACCUUUCACAGAAGUGGCAGUUAUUGGGCACAAGUCUUUACACUCAUGAAGGUAUGUUUAAGGAUAUUGAGUGGUUUCAAAUUAAUAUCAGAAGAGGAUAAUCCUCAUUAAUAUUGAUAAAUACACGGAACAUGAGUUUGUUGUGUUGGCGUCGGCCAUAAUUUGGAGUGUUUACUUUUCAUAUGCGUUUCAGCCAGUGUUAUGUCCAAUGGGCUGUGGAUUGGAUUUGUGCCGUAACUGAGAUUAUACGUGACGGUAACUACUGGGAAUCAUGGAUUGUGAUAGUGUGGCCAUUGAAGUUGAAACUUUGCUCCAAUAAAAGACUGUUGCAGCU